CUACGGGUCGCACCAGUGGGGAAUAUUGCACAAUGGAGGAAACUCUGAUGCAGCAACGCCGCGUGGAGGAUGACACUUUUCGGAGCGUAAACUCCUUUUAUAUAGGAAGAUAAUGACGGUACUAUAUGAAUAAGCACCGGCUAACUCCGUGCCAGCAGCCGCGGUAAUACGGAGGGUGCAAGCGUUACUCGGAAUCACUGGGCGUAAAGAGCGUGUAGGCGGGUUAAUAAGUCAGAAGUGAAAUCCUAUGGCUCAACCAUAGAACUGCUUUUGAAACUGUUAACCUAGAAUAUGGGAGAGGUAGAUGGAAUUUCUGGUGUAGGGGUAAAAUCCGUAGAGAUCAGAAGGAAUACCGAUUGCGAAGGCGAUCUACUGGAACAUUAUUGACGCUGAGACGCGAAAGCGUGGGGAGCAAACAGGAUUAGAUACCCCCGUAGUC
rnacentral:rRNA from 1 species